rnacentral:lncRNA from 1 species
AAUAAUAAAUAAUAAUAAUAAUAAACAACCUAUUGCACGUUAGGCUGCCACGGGCACUUUCAGUGAUUCGUGGUAUUUUUUUGACAGGUUUUGUCAUCAUACUGUAUUAUAUCCUUAUUGAUGCAUUGCUACAAAACACCAAACCAAUGGUUGUAAAACAAAGUUACUUUGCUCACUCUAAUCAGAUAACGUAUUUCGAUUCUGUCUUUAGUUAUUGUAUGGAGUCUUCAUACAUUUUACUAUUUUAAAUUACAUAUUAAUAACCAAUACAUGGUCCCCAAACGUUACGACCACUCUCUUGGCGUGGAUUUGCAGUGUUUUGUGAAAUAUAUUUUUUAUUUUAUUUUUUCAGAUCAUCUGAAGAAUUUGCAAAAAACCUCUCAAAUAAACAAACGGAUUCAAAUGGUUAAUGAACCAAGGGAGUUUCUGAUAAUCUGACUAAAAUGCUGUUACCUGGAUAUUGCCAAACUGAUUUCUAAUCGGGGGCCACAGAAGGCGUAACAAUGAAGGUAGACAGAAGCAAGUUAAAAAAGACUCCUACCGAAGCUGUGAGUAUUUCUUUGGUUUAUACUGCUGUCAAAGAUGGUGAUAGUAGCCAUGUUCAACCAUAUUUGUAUAAAAUUGUGCACAUAGUGUUAAACCAGUGAAGUGGCAAUUUUAUGAAGAAAAGUUUAAACAUUUUUGAAACUCUUUCUGUUCAAAGUAUCAACAAAAAGGUAUCCCCCAAAAAAGUCAAACAAAAACAACCUGAAAUGCUGAAUGUAACGUAGUCUUGCAAAAUGGGUAGUGUAACUUGAAAUACACUUUAAUAAAUUAUAAUUUGCAUUUGAAUCUUUCGGCCUUGUAGUCUCAUGUUGCAAUGCAACUUUGUGUAAUAGUAAAUUAAUAGAGUUGUCCUAAUUUGUAAGAGAAAGAUUGAUAUUUUAAUUCAUACCCUACACAGCCGGCUGACUGCAGGAUACUUAUUGAAAAGCUUAAGGCAUGCAGUGAUGAGCAGCUCCUGGUUGAACUGCAGCACAUCAAGACCUGGAAUAUUGGCAAAGUGAGUAUCAUAGUCAUUUUCUGAAGGUUCUGUUUAUAAUGUCUUAUUUGUCUUUAUUUAAAACUUUGUCCUGUUCUGCAUUAGUGUGAACUGUACCACUGGGUGGACCUCCUGGACCGCUUUGAUGGCAUUCUCUGUGAUGCAGGCCAGACAGUGGAGAAUAUGUCAUGGCUGCUGGUGUGUGAUCGUCCAGACAAUGGGCAGCUCAAGGCUCUUCUGUUGGCAGUACUUAACUUCACAGCACUGUUAAUUGAAUAUAGCUUCUCUAGGCACCUUUACAGCUCCAUAGAGGUUGGUUUGAGAUUACUAUAAUAUAGUAAUUUAUUUGGUAAUAUAUUAAUACAAUCUUUCUUUUCUACAGCACUUAACUA